rnacentral:tRNA from 1 species
GCACCUGUAGCUCAGUGGAUAGAGCGUCUGUUUCCUAAGCAAUAGAGCGUUUGUUUCCUAAGCCAAAAGUCGUAGGUUCGACCCCUACCUAGUGCA